GAGUGAACGCUGGCGGCGUGCUUAACACAUGCAAGUCGAACGCGAAAGGGGAGCAAUCCCCGAGUAGAGUGGCGAACGGGUGAGUAAUGUGUGGGUAACUUUGCCUUUCAGCGGGGGAUAACUCGGGGAAACCUGAGCUAAUACCCCAUAAUGUUGCUUGAUCUUCGGGUCGAGUAAUCAAACGAUGGCCUCUGCUUGCAAGCUAUCGCUGAAAGAUGAGCCCANAUCCUAUCACGCUGUUGGUGGGGUAAUGGCCUACCAAGGCGACGACGGGUAGCCGGCCUGAGAGGGUGUACGGCCACACU
rnacentral:rRNA from 1 species